rnacentral:tRNA from 1 species
GCCUAGUUAGCUUGGUUGGUAGCGCGUCUGCCUUGUAAGCGCUAGGCCGCGGGUUCGAUUCCCGUCCAGGGCG